rnacentral:rRNA from 1 species
AUGGUCCGUGAGGAGGAGGUGCAGGUGGUAGAGUCUUGCCUUGUAAUGCCGGCCGCUGCCACGCCGGGAAGAGCGAUGCGGCUGUCGCCGCUCGACCUCAUGCUAGCCAACAAAGGCCACACCCCACUUGUCCAUUUCUACCGUCGAUGUGGCUCCAUCGGAACCACCGAGGACGACUUCUUUGAUGUGGCCAGGUUGAAGACGGCAUUAGGCAAGGCCCUCGUGGCUACCCCUGGCCGGCCGUCUCAAGCCGGACGCCAAGGGCAAAUUGGAGAUCGACUGCAACGGCGAGGGUUUACCUUUCCUUGUGGCUCGCUCUCGUCUAACUGUUGA